rnacentral:lncRNA from 1 species
GAAAUCUACAUUAUUCAUUUGUUACAUUUGUUUCUUUGGAUGUACUAAAUAAAAGGUGCUGCAAGCUAGGGCUUCUUGUCUUUGCCGCCCAGAGCAGCACUGAUCAGACCCAAAGCUCAGCUUCUUCUCAGUCUCAUUUGUCUACCUUUCCUGUAAUUCGCCAUGUGCUGCUGUGGCUCGCAGGAGACUAGGACUUAUUGCAGAAGUUCUGGUAAUGUCCCCUUCCCCUGUUCCCUACAUUUGGUGCCCAACGUGGAUGUGAACUGGAUCCACAAGUGAAUUCGCCUGUGAGACAAACUCGGAGUAAAAGAGACAACACAUGGAUCUCCCAGGACGAUUUCUGGACUUGGACGAGGGACACUGGUGAAUGUGAGACCAUGGGCCACGCUGGUGGAACCGCCAACAUCUUGCAAAAUGAGUGAUAGCACCCUGGCUGAAAGCGAUGAGCCAGCUGCACCUCAGGGACCCACCUCACCAGCAACAACCAACAAAUCCAUGGCAGGGUCCAGGACUGAGAUGAUGCCCCCAGAGGAAUGAUAAUUAUAGAUUUAUGGUAAAAAAUCUAUAAAGGUGGGGGACAACUUCAAAAUGUUCUUUUUAUAUUUACAGGUAUAAAAGCACUUUCAUUCCUUCUGGUUCUAAUCUCAAGAGAUCUCUGUUAAUUGACUAUUCCAAAGUUUUUGACCAGUCAUACAAUUAUAAAUCUAAUAAUCAUAAAAAGGAUAUUAUAAUUCAAUUUGGCCAAAUAUAUUUGAGUGCACUUUAAUUUUAUAAAUUGUCUUAUAUGUUUGUCUGUUGUCUGUGUUUGUACAGUUGAGCUCAAUGUUUUUUUUUUUCUCUUUUCCUUUUCACCUUUUGAAAAAAAAUUUUUUUUUCUUAAAAGAUAUUCACCUAUUAUUAAAUUGGCUUACAGAUAAAUGUUAUUAAAUUAAAGGCCUUCCUUCCUUCCCAGGUUGCUAAUUGAUCAAAGUGCCACUGAGAUUUAUUUUAUAAAAGUAAUGUGUAUUGUCACCUACAUACAAUAAUCAAAUUGCAAUAAGCAGUUGUAAAAUAAGGAGAUAUAUAUAUUCUUAUUCCUUGUUUGUCAAAAUAAAUAGAGACUGUGGGUACUCCCUUUGGUGAAUAAAGAAGUGGCCACCCAGAAAAUAAUUAUUCUGGUCUUAAUUCACUAAAGGGACCCCUGAGUAAUUUUUAUAAUCUUAUGGGAGACACACCACAAUAAAUAUUGUCUCAAUAUGUUAUUAUAAAUUGAUUACAUUGGUUAUCAUUGACAUUUAAAUUCUAAAUAUGUUAUAAAUUGAUUACAU